AUCAAUGAAAAUUAGCCACUCAUGAUAAAAGAAUUUAAACAACAAGGUUAAAAGAAAUUACAAAGAGAGAUGUUUUACUCAUCAAAUUUCUUCAAUCCGUGAUGCUACUCAUCUAUAUGUGUGCGUGCGUUUUUGCUUCUGGCUUUCCUUCCAUACCAUACUCUCUCUCUAAAAAAAAUGUGAAUCCAAGACCUAGCUCCUGCUGUGCCAAAUUGUCAAUCCAGGCUGUUGCGUAACGCCCCCCUUUUUAUAUGGCUCUCUGACACUUAUAUUUGCUUUCACAUAUUAACCUUGUAAAUUCUCUCGGGUCCACCACUUAUGCAUGAUAGCCCACAAUACACCAAAUAAUCUUGCCGCUAUUUUUCUACCUGUCGCGUCAUUUUUUGGAGAUCACCAAAUAUAUAGAUCAUUGAUUAGCUUUUGACUCACUAAUUUAUUUCACGACUGAACAUUUAAUUUUAUUAUGAAAAGGGGAAAAAGUUCAAACUACCCCAUUUUGAAGAGAUUUAGGGUUCGGGGGUUAGUUACAUAAAGGGAAGGUAUUAGCACCCUUUAUGUCCGUAGUACUCUACGGGAACCUCUUGAUUUUAUUUAAGUUAAUGUGCUAUAACUUGCUUGCUUGAAAAGAAGUUAAUGUGAUGAUUAAAAAGAAAAAGAAAGUGAGACCUAAUUUAUCUACAUUUUUUAUUGUUUGGAAGGACAUGGUCCUCUGCCUACGUACCCGUGAGGGAUCAAAACCUCGUAGUUCGGGAUAGAAAUACCGUUUGAUUCGUUUUGUAUUUUUUAUUAGUUUUGAAAAAGGUUUUAAAAUGAAAAGCCAGGUGGCGAAUAAGAAUUUGUUUGUAUUUUUCAUGUUAAAAGAAAAUGACUUAAAGUGGAAUUAAUGUUGAUUGCAAUUUUGAUUUAUGAAAGAAAUAAAAUAAAAAGACGAUCACUUGAUUUAGGAUCAAGGUUUGCUUAUGAAAAACGUUUUAUUUUUUAUUUUUUUGUUAUUUGCAUGUUUUUUGUUGUUUUUUGAAUAAUAGCUAAAAUUAAACUAACGGAACAUAAAAAUGUAAAGUAAGUACCCUAAACUAGAAGCAUAAAAAUAAACAUACACACACGCACACAUGCACCUAAAGCUAUUAGGUAAAACCUAUUAUACAUUCUAAGGUCUGCAGAAAAUAAAUGACAAGAAAAUAAAUAAUUUAUUUACAUCAAAGCCUAAUUUACAUUCUAACAUCCAUGCUCUAAAAAUAAAAUAAGUGACAUAAAUAAAUAAAUAUGCAUGAAAGAAUAGAAAAUAAAUAAAAAUAAAAUGCGAAAUAAAGAAAUAAAAAUAGGUUCAAUCACAAGGCGGGGGUUGUGGUGCCGGUAUUAUGGGGGGUGUGGGUUCUUGUUUUCUUUCUUCUACCUCUUCAACCACGUCCUCACAACUUAAUUUCCUGUUAAGAGAUGACAACUUUAAACAAAGAAAAACAAACGCAGCAAAUUAAUUACCCAGCAACUGAAAAAAUUGGCACGACAGUGUUAGAACUUCUGUGAGAAAAUGGAAACUUUAAAAAGAAGAAAGAAGCCACGGCAAUAUGAGUUCAAACAAUUGGAAACGUAGCAAUAAUGAAACAAAAGGAUCAUCAAUCAAUCAAAACAUAGCAGCAGCAACUGAGAAAUCAAUAUAAGUAUGUACGGCUGAAUUGAAAAUUGCAUGAAAACUAAGGUUUUGGAAUAUAUGUGUAGUAAUAGCAACCGGCAAAGAAAGUGAAUUAGAAUAGCACAUGACAGUAGCAAUAUGAAAUAAAGACAUGAAAUUUUAACGUAAAACACUAAAAUAAGAAACAUAUAAUAAUAUAAUUGCAAAGGGAAUUAGAAUGAAAAGCAAUAACAAAGUAAUGGACAUGGAAUUGAAUUGUUUCAGCAAAGGGAAUUAGAAUGAAAAGCAAUAACAAAGCAUGUUUCAGUUAUGAAAGUAUUAAAAUUAUGCGGUGGCUAACAUGGAUUCAAAAAUGGAAUGAGGGUGUAACUAUCUCUAAGCUACGGCAGCUUGGGUUUUGAUUUUUUUGGAAUAUUUGUGCGUGUGAAGAUUGUGUUGUGUUAGGUCAAAUCGUGUGUGUCAAUUGUGUUGUUGCAGCUUGCUUUUAUAGAAAGGGGACCAGCACUAGGGUUUGUUGAAAGUUGCUGAAAAUUUGUGACUUGGGGAGGAGAAUAAGCAUUGUUAUUGCUGGAUUGAUAAGGCUGGGAAUUGGAUUGGGAUGGAGAAAGAAAGAAAACGUGUACUGUGUUGUUUUUGGAUGAGGAUCACUUUUUUUGGAUUUUAACAAAUAAUAAUAAUGAAGAAUGCAAAAAUAAAAAAAAGAUUAUGCAGACUUUGAACUUCUUGGACUUAUCUAAACAAAAAUUAAAUAAUUAACUAAAUAGAUAAAGACUAAACAAAAUAAAAAAUAAAAAAUAAAUGAUUUAAAAAAGAAUAAAAAUAUGGAAAUUUUAACUAAAAAUAAAAAAAAAAAGAUAUAAAAUUAAAGAGAGAAGAGG
rnacentral:lncRNA from 1 species